rnacentral:rRNA from 1 species
UACGGGGGGGGCAAGCGUUGUUCGGAAUUACUGGGCGUAAAGGGCUCGUAGGCGGCCAACUAAGUCCGACGUGAAAUCCCCAGGCUUAACCUGGGAACUGCGUCGGAUACUGGAUGGCUUGAAUCCGGGAGAGGGAUGCGGAAUUCCAGGUGUAGCGGUGAAAUGCGUAGAUAUCGGGAGGAACACCUGUGGCGAAAGCGGCGCACUGGACCAUAACUGACGCUGAGGCGCGACAGCGUGGGGGAGCAAACAGG